AACGAACGCUGGCGGCAUGCCUAACACAUGCAAGUCGAACGAGACCUUCGGGUCUAGUGGCGCACGGGUGCGUAACGCGUGGGAACCUGCCCUUAGGUUCGGAAUAACUCCCCGAAAGGGGUGCUAAUACCGGAUAAUGUCUUCGGACCAAAGAUUUAUCGCCUUUGGAUGGGCCCGCGUUGGAUUAGCUAGUUGGUAGGGUAAAAGCCUACCAAGGCGACGAUCCAUAGCUGGUCUGAGAGGAUGAUCAGCCACACUGGGACUGAGACACGGCCCAGACUCCUACGGGAGGCAGCAGUGGGGAAUAUUGGACAAUGGGCGAAAGCAUGAUCCAGCAAUGCCGCGUGAGUGAUGAAGGCCUUAGGGUUGUAAAGCUCUUUUACCCGGGAUGAUAAUGACAGUACCGGGAGAAUAGGCUCCGGCUAACUCCGUG
rnacentral:rRNA from 1 species